rnacentral:rRNA from 1 species
GGGCCCGCACAAGCAGCGGAGCGUGUGGUUUAAUUCGAUGCUACACGAAGAACCUUACCUGGGUUUGACAUAUAAGUUGUAGGGAACUGAAAAGGGACCGACCCUUCGGGGAGCUUAUACAGGUGUUGCAUGGCUGUCGUCAGCUCGUGUCGUGAGAUGUUCGGUUAAGUCCGCUAACGAGCGCAACCCUCGCCGUAUGUUACAAGUGUCAUACGGGACUGCCGGUAAAAGCCGGAGGAAGGUGAGGAUGAUGUCAAGUCAGCAUGACCUUUAUAUCCAGGGCUACACACACGCUACAAUGGUCUGUACAAUUGGUUGCCAAGCCGCGAGGCGGAGCCAAUCCGUAAAGCAGGCCUCAGUUCAGAUUGCAGUCUGCAACUCGACUGCAUGAAGCCGGAGUUGCUAGUAACCGCAGGUCAGCAAUACUGCGGUGAAUACGUUCCCGGGUCUU